GUCCCGGUCCUGUCCUGGUCCCAUCCCAAUCCUGAUCCUGUCCUGGUCCCCAUCCCAGUCCUGGUCCUGUCCCGAUCCUCGUUCUUGUCCCGAUCCUGUCCUGGUCCUGGUCCUGGUCCUGUCCCCAUCUUCGUUCCUAUCCCCAUCCCAGUCCUGGUCCUGUCCCGAUAUCCAUUCUGGCCUUGUCCCCGUCCCCAUCCCGGUCCUGUCCCCGAUCCUAAUUACUGCCCCCAUCCCCGCCCCUGCCCCUCUCCUUGUCCCUCUCUCUGUCCCAUCCCUGCCCCUGUUCCCCUCUCUGUCCCAUCCCUGUCCCUCUGUCUGUCCCAUUCCUGUCCCUCUGUCCCUGUCCCUCCGUGGUGGCUGCUCCGUCUCCUGCUGGAAAAUCAACUUUAGUGAUGCUCCCACUUCAUGAAAUGAGGAAAACCCAGGAGGUGCCCCACCUGGUUUGUCAGGAUUUCAUGCAAAAAUCACCUGUGACUGCAAAAAAACCACCCCGAGUUCUCCUCCACACCUUGAAUUAUUUAUUUUUAACUCCUUCAGUGUGAAAAUGGGGCUGUGACCCAGAUAAUGAGCGGCGUUUGGGAGCUGGCUCCUGCCUUAUCAGCGACCCGGGAGCUCCAAAGCACGAAAGGACAGAGUGGGCUUUCAUCUCAUCCUCGGGGUCUUCCCGCGGAGUUGUCACCUCCUGCCGUUGUCACCCGGCUGUUCCUUGUCCCCUGCUGUGUCCCCGUGCCCUUUGUCGUGCCAGCCUCGGGCACAGGGGGAUGAGGAGCGGAACCCCAGCCAGGUGAAAAGCUGAGCCUGAGCACUAAUUACCACGAGAAGAGAGAAAAUCGAUGAAGCAAAGGCGGAGCGUUCAUUAAUAAAGAACCCGGUGACUUGUA